rnacentral:misc_RNA from 1 species
UUUAUGGUGUGGUUAAAGACGUCUUCCUUCCAUGGUACAACGCGUAUAGAUUCUUAGUACAGAAUGCUAAGAGGCUUGAGGUUGAAGGGCUUGCACCAUUCUCUCCUUUUGAUAUUGGAACACUUAAAAAUUCAUCUAAUGUGUUAGAUCAGUGGAUCAAUUCAGCCACUCAGAGUCUUGUUCAUUUUGUCCGCCAAGAAAUGGAUGCAUACCGACUUUACACGGUGGUUCCAUAUCUCUUGAAGUUUCUUGACAACCUUACAAACAUAUAUGUGCGAUUCAAUCGCAAGAGAUUAAAAGGUCGU